rnacentral:rRNA from 1 species
GGGAGCUUGCUCCCUGGUGGCGAGCGGCGGACGGGUGAGUAAUGCAUAGGAAUCUGCCCGGUAGUGGGGGAUAACCUGGGGAAACCCAGGCUAAUACCGCAUACGUCCUACGGGAGAAAGCAGGGGCUCUUCGGACCUUGCGCUAUCGGAUGAGCCUAUGUCGGAUUAGCUGGUUGGUGAGGUAAUGGCUCACCAAGGCGACGAUCCGUAGCUGGUCUGAGAGGAUGAUCAGCCACACUGGGACUGAGACACGGCCCAGACUCCUACGGGAGGCAGCAGUGGGGAAUAUUGGACAAUGGGCGCAAGCCUGAUCCAGCCAUGCCGCGUGUGUGAAGAAGGCCCUCGGGUUGUAAAGCACUUUCAGCGAGGAAGAAGGCUUGGCGGCUAAUACCCGUCAAGAAGGACAUCACUCGCAGAAGAAGCACCGGCUAACUCCGUGCCAGCAGCCGCGGUAAUACGGAGGGUGCGAGCGUUAAUCGGAAUUACUGGGCGUAAAGCGCGCGUAGGUGGUUUGGCACGCCGGUUGUGAAAGCCCCGGGCUCAACCUGGGAACGGCAUCCGGAACGGCCAGACUAGAGUGCAGGAGAGGAAGGUAGAAUUCCCGGUGUAGCGGUGAAAUGCGUAGAGAUCGGGAGGAAUACCAGUGGCGAAGGCGGCCUUCUGGCCUGACACUGACACUGAGGUGCGAAAGCGUGGGUAGCAAACAGGAUUAGAUACCCUGGUAGUCCACGCCGUAAACGAUGUCGACUAGCCGUUGGGACCUUUAAGGACUUAGUGGCGCAGUUAACGCGAUAAGUCGACCGCCUGGGGAGUACGGCCGCAAGGUUAAAACUCAAAUGAAUUGACGGGGGCCCGCACAAGCGGUGGAGCAUGUGGGUUUAAUUCGAUGCAACGCGAAG